AAAAAAUUUGAAUGAAGAGACUAUUGGAAAUUAAAUUACAAGGAAAUUUAAGUUUUGAAUUACAAAUUGUUGGAAAAAUAGAAAUACAGGAGAUUGAUACAUUUGUUGUGGGGACCCUUGCCACAAUAAAGAACAAGUGACAACUAAUCCUACUCUAAGCUUUGAAAGGAGCCAACAUCAAGCUAUUAGCUAAUUCGGGACUUGGUCAAAAGCUACUCAAAGCCUGUUGCUUAGCCAAUUGCUAAACUUAGCAAUAAAACAAGUAAGUGAUGUAGUAGAUAACUCUAUUCUCUUCCUCCACAUCUUCUCGGUUUCCACCUCCACAAGGCUCCAAGGGGACAGCCUUAGUGCCUACAAAAUUUACACCAAAUGAGGAUCAAAAUAUGACUUGUAAGUAAAAGGGAAGAGUGGCACAAACCCAAAUAAGGAAAAAGAAACUAGUAGGCGAAAUAGGGCAGCCCAGGGGCUGCAUUAUAGAGCUUUAAAUUAUCCUUUUUGCCACCUUUCCAAAGUUUCACCAAAGAGGCAAAAAAAAUGACAAGUGAAGCAAGAAAGAUGAACUAUCUUCAAACCCAUAAGAGAAGAGGAAUAUUAUGCAAAUCACAAGAGAAAUCAGCAAAGAUCUCCCCUAUCCCAAGACUUUCACCAAUUUGGCAAGAAGGCUUUUUAGCUCAACUCAAAAAGAGAAGUGAGUUGUUAGCUCAAAAUAGAAAGGGGAGCUCUCCAAUGCCUUACACCAAUUUAGGCAUAGAAGCUUUAAGCUCAAAUUCAAAAGUGAAGGAAUCUUUAUCCCAAAUUAGACACAAAAUGCCAAGGAGUUUUGGCUAUAAAUACCAGCCCCACCACCAUCUCCUUCCUCACACCUCUCUAUAUUCAUAAGGCAUAAGAAGUGCAGCAAGAGAGGAAGGAAUGGCAGCGAGAUAGGAGCAGCCCCGCAACCGAAAGGAAUCACCAAGCAAGGUUGGAGGAAUUAAUGAAGGACCGCUUCCAGGAAGCUAUACCACUUGAUCAAGAAGGUCGUGGCCAUCAGGAAGCAUUUGGAGAGGAACAAGAAGGAUAAGGAUUCCAAGUUCAGGUUGAUUUUGGUGGAGAGCAGGAUUCACCGCUUGGCCCAUUAAUACAAGAAGACCAAGUAGCUUCCAUCUAUGUGGAAAUAUUAAGCCGAGAUUGAUUGCUCGGUGCACGUUUAUUAUUUGUCCCAAGGGUUUAGGAAUUCUUGGGGCUAGGUUGUAGUAUGCAUUGAGUCAACGAGUUUUGGUCAUUCAUCUAAGGUUCAUCUAAGGUUUAGGAAUCAUAUCCGUUAGGUAGUAGUUUUUAGCCGAUAUACACAAUGUACAUAUGAUACUAUAUAAUGCUUGUUUUAAGUGCUGUAAUGCACGUUUUUUGAUAUAUAAUGUACUUUUAUACUCACAAAUUUAAUUUAAGUUUGGCCUUA